rnacentral:misc_RNA from 1 species
GGGAUUUGGAAACUGAUCACGUUACAUGCUGCUUUCCAGUGUUCAAUGGAGAAGCUCUGAAGCUUUGGGUGUAGGUUAGGCCUUCGGGUUUCUUCUUGCGCCUCCCUUGUGAAGAUGAGCGGCAGUGAGAUGUUAGGAUGGCGAGGUCGUUGAGAUCUUGUAGUGGAGUCAGAAUCUUCACGACUUCGUCCAUGGUUGGACGUAGUUUUGGGUCCCUGCUGAGGCAACUGCAAGCAAGCUGCGAG